ACGGGAGGCAGCAGUGGGGAAUAUUGCACAAUGGGGGAAACCCUGAUGCAGCAACGCCGCGUGAGUGAAGAAGUAUUUCGGUAUGUAAAGCUCUAUCAGCAGGGAAGAAAAUGACGGUACCUGACUAAGAAGCACCGGCUAAAUACGUGCCAGCAGCCGCGGUAAUACGUAUGGUGCAAGCGUUAUCCGGAUUUACUGGGUGUAAAGGGAGCGCAGGCGGUUUAGCAAGUCUGAUGUGAAAUCCCGGGGCUCAACCCCGGAACUGCAUUGGAAACUGUUGAACUAGAGUGCCGGAGAGGUAAGUGGAAUUCCUAGUGUAGCGGUGAAAUGCGUAGAUAUUAGGAGGAACACCAGUGGCGAAGGCGGCUUACUGGACGGUAACUGACGCUGAGGCUCGAAAGCGUGGGGAGCAAACAGGAUUAGAUACCCUGGUA
rnacentral:rRNA from 1 species